rnacentral:rRNA from 1 species
CCUACGGGAGGCAGCAGUCGAGAAUCAUUCACAAUGGGGGAAACCCUGAUGGUGCGACGCCGCGUGGGGGAAUGAAGGUCUUCGGAUUGUAAACCCCUGUCAUGUGGGAGCGAAUUAAAAAGAUAGUACCACAAGAGGAAGAGACGGCUAACUCUGUGCCAGCAGCCGCGGUAAUACAGAGGUCUCAAGCGUUGUUCGGAAUCACUGGGCGUAAGGCGUGCGUAGGCUGUUUCGUAAGUCGGGUGUGAAAGGCGCGGGCUCAACCCGCGGACGGCACAUGAUACUGCGAGACUAGAGUAAUGGAGGGGGAACCGGAAUUCUCGGUGUAGCAGUGAAAUGCGUAGAUAUCGAGAGGAACACUCGUGGCGAAGGCGGGUUCCUGGACAUUAACUGACGCUGAGGCACGAAGGCCAGGGGAGCGAAAGGGAUUAGAUACCCGGGUAGUC